UCUCUCUCAAAUAAGUUUUUCGAGCUCCUAAUAGUUCAAGGAGCAGUCAUGGUUAGGAACAAGUCGAAGACAGAAUCAGAGGUGUUUUGGCACUUCAAACUUCUUCGAGGAUUACUGCAACUUUACGAAAGAGUCCCCAAAGGAGAGUCCUCCUGAAUAGCCUCAAAGCCCUUGUAUUCAACAUCAAAUGUUGUCGUUGUGUCGUUGCACGCCGUGAUCCAGCAACAUCAAUUGUCGCCAAAAAAGAUACAGAAUCGAGGUGCAUAAUACCUAGGCGAGGCAGUUGUGAAAUGAGGAGACAUACAGAGUGCACGAUGAAGUUCGAACGAAGAAUGUGGCAUUUGAAAGCUUUAGUGAAUAUUGUUGAUCACCAUCACUAGAAGAAAAUUGGCCACGCUCUUAAUAUGAAUAUGUGAUCCAUAUAAAGCAAUUUUAUUUUAU